AACGUAGGAGACGAGCGUUAUCCGGAUUUACUGGGCGUAAAGCGUGUGCAGGCGGUUCGGCAAGUUGGAUGUGAAAUCUCCCGGCUCAACUGGGAGGGGUCGUUCAAUACUACCGAACUUGAGGACAUCAGAGGAAGGUGGAAUUCCGGGUGUAGUGGUGAAAUGCGUAGAUAUCCGGAGGAACACCAGUGGCGAAGGCGGCCUUCUGGGAUGUUUCUGACGCUCAUACACGAAAGCUAGGGGAGCGAACGGG
rnacentral:rRNA from 1 species